UACGUAGGGGGCAAGCGUUGUCCGGAUUUAUUGGGCGUAAAGAGCGUGUAGGCGGCCAGGUAGGUCAGCUGUGAAAACUCGAGGCUCAACCUCGAGACGCCGGUUGAAACCAUCUGGCUAGAGUCCGGAAGAGGAGAGUGGAAUUCCCGGUGUAGCGGUGAAAUGCGCAGAUAUCGGGAAGAACACCCGUGGCGAAGGCGGUUCUCUGGGACGGUACUGACGCUGAGACGCGAAAGCGUGGGGAGCGAACAGG
rnacentral:rRNA from 1 species